rnacentral:rRNA from 1 species
UACGGGGGGGGCAAGCGUUGUUCGGAAUUACUGGGCGUAAAGGGCGCGUAGGCGGCCUGCUAAGUCGGACGUGAAAUCCCCCGGCUUAACCUGGGAACUGCGUCUGAUACUGGAAGGCUCGAGUUUGGGAGAGGGAUGUGGAAUUCCAGGUGUAGCGGUGAAAUGCGUAGAUAUCUGGAGGAACACCGGUGGCGAAGGCGGCAUCCUGGACCAACACUGACGUUCAGGCACGAAAGCGUGGGGAGCAAACAGG